rnacentral:snoRNA from 1 species
UUGCACUGUUCGUAACCCGUUGACAGCAUAUUUCUGUGAAUAGGUUCCAUUCCAGUGCUACAUGAAAUCCAAUAAUGGAAGGCUGACAAAUUCCAUGUCCCUUCUGUAUUUGGAGACAAAA